rnacentral:rRNA from 1 species
GGCGGACGGGUGAGUAAUGUCUGGGAAACUGCCUGAUGGAGGGGGAUAACUACUGGAAACGGUAGCUAAUACCGCAUAACGUCGCAAGACCAAAGAGGGGGACCUUCGGGCCUCUUGCCAUCAGAUGUGCCCAGAUGGGAUUAGCUAGUAGGUGGGGUAAUGGCUCACCUAGGCGACGAUCCCUAGCUGGUCUGAGAGGAUGACCAGCCACACUGGAACUGAGACACGGUCCAGACUCCUACGGGAGGCAGCAGUGGGGAAUAUUGCACAAUGGGCGCAAGCCUGAUGCAGCCAUGCCGCGUGUAUGAAGAAGGCCUUCGGGUUGUAAAGUACUUUCAGCGGGGAGGAAGGUGUUGAGGUUAAUAACCUCAGCAAUUGACGUUACCCGCAGAAGAAGCACCGGCUAACUCCGUGCCAGCAGCCGCGGUAAUACGGAGGGUGCAAGCGUUAAUCGGAAUUACUGGGCGUAAAGCGCACGCAGGCGGUCUGUCAAGUCGGAUGUGAAAUCCCCGGGCUCAACCUGGGAACUGCAUUCGAAACUGGCAGGCUAGAGUCUUGUAGAGGGGGGUAGAAUUUCCAGGUGUAGCGGUGAAAUGCGUAGAGAUCUGGAGGAAUACCGGUGG